UACGAAGGGUGCAAGCGUUACUCGGAAUUACUGGGCGUAAAGGGUGCGUAGGUGGUUGUUUAAGUCUGCUGUGAAAGCCCCGGGCUCAACCUGGGAAUGGCAGUGGAUACUGGACAGCUAGAGUGCGGUAGAGGGUAGUGGAAUUCCCGGUGUAGCAGUGAAAUGCGUAGAUAUCUGGAGGAACACCGGUGGCGAAGGCGGCAUCCUGGACCAACACUGACACUGAGGAGCGAAAGCCAGGGGAGCAAACGGG
rnacentral:rRNA from 1 species